rnacentral:rRNA from 1 species
GAUGAACGCUAGCGGCAGGCUUAAUACAUGCAAGUCGAACGGUAAGGUUUCUUCGGAGACACACGAGUGGCGCACGGGUGCGUAACGCGUAUGCAACCUACCUAUAACUGGGGAAUAGCCCCGAGAAAUCGGGAUUAAUGUCCCAUACCAUUCUUUGAAUGCAUAUUCGAAGAAUGAAAGCUCCGGCGGUUAUUGAUGGGCAUGCGUGACAUUAGCUAGUUGGUGAGGUAACGGCUCACCAAGGCGACGAUGUCUAGGGGGUCCUGAGAGGGUUAACCCCCACACUGGUACUGAGACACGGACCAGACACCUACGGGUGGCUG